rnacentral:rRNA from 1 species
UAAGGAAUAUUGCUCAAUGGGAGAAAUCCUGAAGCAGCAACGCCGCGUGGAGGAUGAAGGGUCUAUGACUUGUAAACUCCUGUAAAGAAGGAAAAAAUUCCCAUUUGAUGGGAGAUGAUGGUACUUCUGGAGUAAGCCCCGGCUAACUACGUGCCAGCAGCCGCGGUAAUACGUAGGGGGCAAGCGUUGUCCGGAUUUACUGGGUGUAAAGGGUGCUCAGGCGGAUUUGUAAGUCAGAGGUGAAAUCUUACAGCUUAACUGUGAAACUGCCUUUGAUACUGCAAGCCUAGAGUAUGGAAGAGAGUGAUGGAAUAUCUGGUGUAGCAGUGAAAUGCGUAGAUAUCAGAUAGAACACCAAUGGCGAAGGCAGUCACUUGGUCCAUUACUGACGCUAAAGCACGAAAGCGUGGGU